UCUUGUAAACCCUCUUCACUCCAUACUUAACCCAAAAUAAUAAGAUUAUAUUUAUUCGACCAUUAUGAAAGUACACAUUAUACACUAAUUGCUAUACUUUUAUUUGCUGGCUUUUUAGACCAUGCCAUGACCAAGAAACAGAACUUUUUACCAUGCGCCAACCAAGAAGAGUGCGAAAAAAUCUGCGACUCCCAUUGUGACGAACCAUAUAAGGCUCUCUGCACUCACUACACUGUAUGCUAUUGUGGUCCACUCGUUAUCGAUUAAGCUGGUCAUGAGUCAUGACAGACGCAUACUUGGUUAACAUGAAUUUUGUGCACCCACACGAGCACAUCUUAUAGAUAUUUAUUUUAUUAAGAUCACAAUGUUCACCAUUGCGUGAUAGAUGUAAUAAUAUAAUAUACUUAUGUUGUUUCA